rnacentral:piRNA from 1 species
UAACUCUGACUUACUACUUACUAUGUUCCA